rnacentral:rRNA from 1 species
UCCUGGCGUCAGGAUGAACGCUGGCGGCGUGCUUAACACAUGCAAGUCGAACGAGAACCAUUGGAUCGAGGAUUCGUCCAAGUGAAGGUGGGAAAGGUGGCGGACGGGUGAGUAACGCGUGAGCAAUCUGCCUUGGAGUGGGGAAUAACGGCUGGAAACAGCCGCUAAUACCGCAUGAUACAGCUGGGAGGCAUCUCCCUGGCUGUCAAAGAUUUAUCGCUCUGAGAUGAGCUCGCGUCUGAUUAGCUAGUUGGCGGGGUAACGGCCCACCAAGGCGACGAUCAGUAGCCGGACUGAGAGGUUGGCCGGCCACAUUGGGACUGAGACACGGCCCAGACUCCUACGGGAGGCAGCAGUGGGGAAUAUUGGGCAAUGGGCGCAAGCCUGACCCAACAACGCCGCGUGAAGGAAGAAGGCUUUCGGGUUGUAAACUUCUUUUGUCAGGGACGAAGCAAGUGACGGUACCUGACGAAUAAGCCACGGCUAACUACGUG